rnacentral:rRNA from 1 species
UACGUAGGGGGCAAGCGUUGUCCGGAAUCAUUGGGCGUAAAGCGCGCGUAGGCGGCCCGAUCAGUCCGCUGUAAAAGUCCAGGGCUCAACCCUGGAAAGCCGGUGGAUACUGUCGGGCUAGCGUCCGGAAGAGGCGAGUGGAAUUCCUGGUGUAUCGGUGGAAUGCGCAGAUAUCAGGAGGAACACCGAUAGCGAAGGCAGCUCGCUGGGACGGUACUGACGCUGAGGUGCGAAAGCGUGGGGAGCGAACAGG